ensembl:lncRNA novel transcript
AGGCAGGCUUCCUACUCAUACUAAAAAUAAGUGACUUUCCUAAACUCAGGUUCCUGCCUGGUGUGACCGUCUCACCCGGCCUCUUCACAUCGCGCUCUGGGUAUUGGAGUCUACGGAUCCCACACAAGAAAAUGCCGAGACUCUGGCUACUGCUGUUGCAAGGCCCUUGAUGGUGGACAGACCCCAGCACGGCCCUGGACAGAUUGUGAGGCACAGAGAAGUCACCUGCCACCUCCCCACCGUCAGAACAAUGAUGGCAGACACCACCAGGUCCUGAGGCUCUCCUGGCCUUUGGGCACUGUUCCUGCUGCCUUACAGACAUGAUCUCAUUGAACACUCAUGAACACUCACAACAUCAUAAGCCUCACUCGGGCAUCUAUGCUAGACACUGAGGGGACAGCAGAGAGCCAAGAAGACAAAAACCUUGGCUGUCAGAGAAAGAGGUUGCGUUCUAGUGGGGGAAAUAGACAAAAUAAGGAACACACAUGGUACAGUUGUGUGUCACUUAACAGUGGGGAUAUGUUAUGAGAAAUGUGAAGGCAAUUUCAUCAUCGUGUGAACAUCAUAAUGUUAUAGGAGUUAAUAAGAAAUUAUUUUAGGCAGAUAGGGAAAGCGGUCCUUGGAAAGUUUUUGUUUCUUUUAAAGCAGCUAAAGAAAAGUUUCUUAUCUAGCAGGAAAGCUCCGGCUCUUAGAGCUAGGCCGGCAACCUCUGAUAUGCAAAUAAAUGCUGGCCAUUAGAAAAUGGGUCCACCCAAACAUGGCGAUUCUCACCCUCUUCCUUGCCCUCACAUGUGCCUGGCAACAUGGCGGCACCCCCAUAUCCCCAUGUGUGUAGAAUAUCAUGGCGCCCUGCAUUUGCAAAAAAAAAAAAAAAGUGUAUAUAUAACUUCUGUUAAUCAAAAGUCGCAACUAAGAAAAUAAAAAUGCAAGCCACAAAGUGGGAGAAGUUACUUGCAAUACAUUUCCUAACAAAGGAUUCGUAUCUAAAAUAUAUAAAGAAUUCCUACAAAUUAAUAAGGAAAGGGUAGAUGACCGCAAAGAAACAUUACAAAGUCUUGAAUAAACACAGAAGACAAUAUCCAAAUGGCCAAUAACAUAGGAAAAAGUAUUCGACUCCAUCACUCAUCAAGGAAAUGCAAAUUAAAACCACAAUGAGGCCUGGCGCGGUGGCUCAUGCCUGCAAUCCCAGCACUUUGAGAGGCUGAGGCAGGCGGAUCACGAGGUCAGGAGAUUGAGACCAUCCCGGCUAACAUGGUGAAACCCCGUCUCUACUAAAAAAAUACAAAAAGUUAGCUGGGGGUGGUGGCACACGCCUGUAGUCCCAGCUACUCAGGAGGCUGAGGCAGGAGAAUCGCUUGAACCUGGGAGGCAUAGGUUGCCGUGAGCUGAGAUCACGCCACUGCACUCCAGCCUGAGCAACAGAGUGAGACUCCAUCUCAAAAAAAAAAAAACAAACAAAACCAAAACAAAAACAAAAAACCCCAAAAAACACCACAAUGAGGUGUCUGUAGACACACAUCAAAAUGUUUCAAAAUUAUUAAAAUAUUGACCGCAUAAAGCGUUAGUGCGAUGGUUAAUUUUAGGUGUCAUCUAAACUGUGCCACAGAGUGCCUCAUUAAAUCAUAUUUCUGGAUGUGGCUGCGAGGGUGUUUCUGGAUGAGAUUAGCAUUUGAAGGAGUGGACUCAGUGAGGCAGGUUUUCCUCCCCAGUGUGGAUGGGUACCAUCCAAUCCGUUGAGGGGCUGAAUGGAACAAAAAAAGCAGCGAAGAGUGAAUUUGCCAAAUUUUGCUUCCAGCCUUCCUGUUUGAGCUGGGACAUCAGUCCUCUGCUGCCCUUGGACUGGGAUUCACAUCGUUGGCUCUGGCCUUUGGACUUGGACUUAGACUGGAAUCACAGCACUGGUUUUCCUGGGUCUCCAGCUUGCAGAUGGCAGAUCACAGGAUUUCUCAGCCUCUAUAAUCACCUUAAGCCAAUUCAUUAUAAUGAAUCUCUUCCUAUGGCCUAUUUGUUCUAUUUCUCUGGAGAGCCCUAACUAAUACAACCAGUGGGUUGUGAGGCAAUGGGAACUACUUCCACUGCCUAUUCAAGACUUUUGAAUGAUUCUUUCUGGUCGUCUGUCUUUUCCUUAUUGAUUUGUAGGAAUUCUUUAUAUAUUUUAGAUGUGAAUCCUUUGUUAGGAAAUAUAUUGCAAGUAUCUUCUCCCAUUUUAUGGCUUGCCAUUUCAUUUUCUUAGUUAUGGUUGUAGCAGUAUAAAUUGGUACAAUCACUUUGGAAAACUGGUUGCAAGUAUCUAUUAAAACUGAACUUAUGUGAA